ACAAAUUCAUCUCAAAAGGUGGCUUUGGGAAUGGGGAGUAGAAUGUGCCGUUAUUGACUCACCUAAUUUUAUUGCAGACUACUUGGAGAAGAGUCUUAGAUUGUGUUAUUUUGAGCUUAGCUGCAGGUUUUGAAUCUUUAAUGAAAUUCCUAUUUAAAAUAUUAAAGCAUUGAUUUUAAUAGACAUUAAUGAAACACUUCAGUUUACUGUUAGUUGCUCAACUUCUGUUUUCUUGGCUUUCAUGAUGUCGUUUCUUGAGUUGUCAUUGUUUUACCUUAUAAAAGCACUCUGAGGUUUCCCACAACUGUAGAACUGGCUUUGCCACAGACAGGCUUAAGUGAUGUUGCUGUUGCCUAAGAUAGGAUGUUAUUUACGCCUGUUGAAGGUGCACCGUGGUGUUCUGAGCAGCCUGAACUGAGCUCCUUUCUGAGGAAUUUAAACAGUGCUGCUAACAGUGGUAAAAAUCAUAAAGAUAUUUUGAAAAAGCAAGUAGGAGAUGUUUUGUUCAGGGCAGAUAAGACCUGGUUUUUAUUUAACAAAAAAAAAAUUGUGAGGAUGAAAAUGUUUUUAACAGAUAAAGUAGGGGGUGGGAAAUGCACGAGAUUUUUUCCCUUUGCAGAACACUUUUCUAUGUUUUAAAUGCAUCAUUUCUCCUGGAGCAGUUUCUUUACUGAAGAGCCCUAGUGCUGAUGGGAUUUAAUUUUUGUCAAACUGACCUAGAAAAUAAUUUUAAGUUGAACUUUUUCCUCAUUUACUGUUUUGUGCCUUUAAGUAACAUUAAACAAAACUGAAAUAUUUUCCUUCUAAAAAUUAUUUUGACUGUUUUCAUUUGGUGUCUUUUUCGGAGACAUAAAUGGAACUCAAAUGUGGCUGGGUAACUAGUGAGGUUGCCACGCGUGCUAAGAGAAAACAGAUGCUUUGCUAGCUCUAUUAAAUCCAUUACCUAACAUCGGUUGGCAACUGAAACCAGUCUAGCAUCAUGUUUCUAUCAGGCUUUUGCAGAAUAACGGUUUUGUAAAUAGGAAGUCUUUGGAGCUUGCUCUCCCAAGCAUCAGGAAGUCUUCUUGUACUAAGCUAGAAUUGAUACCAUUAAAACCUGAAUCUUCAAGUAGGGAAGGACUGUUUACCAAAAUAUAUGUAAAACACACUUACACCUUUUACAAGGAAAAAAAGUAGUUUCUCUGUAAAAAAAGCAAGCUGCUAGAAGUGAGUAUCUUCUUUGCUGUGGGUGCAUCUUAUGUAGUCAUAAACCAAACUAGUUCUCAGCUAGUAAGCAGUAUGGCCACCAAAGCACGCAAAAGUCGACAUCGCUAACCGCCUGAUUAAUUUCUCAACUUCCUUGCCAAGGGUUGGUUGCAAUCCUGGUCCAGAAGUCCUUGCUGCAGAACGGAAGGAGAAAGGGCUUGCUUCCUUAGGGAAGAGACUGAAAGCCCGCUCAGUAAAUCAGCAGUCUAUAUUGACCUUAGUGGGGUUGUGCUUGUAUUACCUAACCUGAGCAGUCUAGUUUAAAGUAAGAUCAGGUGUAUCUAUCUGAGUUUGCAAGAACAUUGAAGCCCUACGUUCAUUCCAGAAAAAAAAAAAACUUAGACCAGCAGUGUUAAUUUCUGUGGGCUUCAUUUGCUUCACUUAAGCAGUAGGUUAGCGUGGUAGCAGUUGAGUUAUUCUUGAUCAGUGCCCUUCUAAUUCAGAGCUUCGCAUACACCAAUGAAAACCUGAUAUAACUGUUGCUUUCCUAGUUUUUCAUAGAAAUUACAUUACUGUCUGUAGAAAUUAGGUGGGGAAAUAGUAUGUGUGCUCAAAUGUAAAUAUAUUUCAAAUCCAGAUUUUGCAGAAUAACUUACAAGUAUCAAUGCUUAUAUUCCAGUGACCUGUGCAGUGAGUACUAAACAUAAUUUAUUUAGGUUUUCACGCUUCAUUGGGUAACCUUAAUAGAGAAAUACAAGAUAAAUAAUGGGGACAGUCCUAUCAAGGCUUUGAAAAUCUGCCAGGCAUUCAUAAUAACAAAAGAUGAUUGGUUAAAACUGACCUUCAUUGCAACUGAUACAGAAAUGUGCUUAAUAGUACUGGAAUAAAUUACAUGACAGUUGGGAAAGCCGAAGUUGUUUUUGUUUGGGUGGGUUGUUUUUUUUUUUUGCAAGCUUUGCAAAAGAUUCCACUAUUCUAGUCACUAAGUUUGUAUUUUCAUAUAUGUUCAGUUAGUGUUUUUGUCAGAGAUGUAGAAAAAGCUUUGAAGAUAAUAUCCAUUCAGUGACUCUGGCUUUUUUUUUUUAAUGGCUGUUUCUGUAGCACUCUGUAGUUUCUUCUUCUGAGAUCUUAGGUGCCAGUGCAUUAAAGGAACAAAAGAAUGUAUUUGAUGUAUUUGGAAGGUAAGGAAAGAGUUUAUUUUGUAUCCUAAGCUGUACUUUUCUUUUAAAUCAUUUGAAAUGUAAAUUGAUGUUGAUAUUACAAAGCUUAAUUUAUUGUUUAAAAAUGUAGACACUUCUUGAAAUGAAUGUAUCAUUUUUCUUUUUUAUUUUUAUAGGAAUAAAGUAUUGGUUAAGGUUUUCAGUAUAGUUUUCUUGGGUUUUGGAACUGUUUUGAACAGAAAUAUUACAGUCACCAUUUUAUGCUUAUUGGUUAUAUGGCUAAUGGUGAAAUAAAGCAUUUUUGGC